rnacentral:rRNA from 1 species
GAUGAACGCUGGCGGCGUGCCUAAUACAUGCAAGUCGAACGCGAGAGGAGGGAGCUUGCUCCCUCUGAUCGAGUGGCGGACGGGUGAGUAACACGUAGGCAACCUGCCCAUCGGCCGGGGGUAACUGCGGGAAACCGUAGCUAAUACCGGAUAAUCCUCCCCACCGCGGGGAUGGGCGGUGAUAGCCGGUUUCGGCUGUCGCUGAUGGAUGGGCCUGCGGCGCAUGAGCUGGGUGGCGGGGUAACGGCCCACCAAGGCAACGAUGCGUAGCCGACCUGAGAGGGUGAUCGGCCACACUGGGACUGAGACACGGCCCAGACUCCUACGGGAGGCAGCAGUAGGGAAUCUUCGGCAAUGGGCGCAAGUCUGACCGAGCAACGCCGCGUGAGUGAAGAAGGGUUUCGGCUCGUAAAACUCUGUUGUUAAGGAAGAACGGCAGGUAGAGUAACUGCUACCUGUGUGACGGUACCUAACCAGAAAGCCACGGCUAACUACGUGCCAGCCGCCGCUGUAA